GCCAGGUCAGACCAUCGCUGGAGUUCCCUGGAGGAGGAGGUUUGGGGAAGGCAAGGCUGAGUCACAGCAGCGAGAGCCGACAGGGAGCGGGGAUGGUCCAAUGACCUCACGCUUUCAUCUGAGCCUGAUCACACUUGAACCUUCAGUGUAAUUUCCCUGACAAUCCCUUGAGGGCGUCCUUCACAGUCACCCCACCUUACAGAGGGGGAAACUGAGGCUCAAAGACACGCAAUGCCUGCAUCUACGCCGUAUCCCCAGCCUGCCAACCGUGCCCGAUCACGCGCCCACCCCCCAUGCGGUGGCCCUGGCUAUCGCGGGGACCGACGUGUCCCCCCAGUGCCUCUUGCUUUCCUGCCUGUUUCGGGAAAUCCUGG